rnacentral:tRNA from 125 species
GCCCCCGUUGUGUAGCGGCCUAGCACGCCGCCCUCUCAAGGCGGUAGCGCCGGUUCGAAUCCGGUCGGGGGUACCA